AACUCAAACUGCUCUCAUCUAGGCCUGCUCUACGCCAAGAGAGAUCAGAGGAUUUAAAUCCUCUUUCUAGUUAACUACAUGAUGCUUCAUUUAAGGUCUCAGGCCAGUGUUUCACCCUUGUCAAAUGGUGCGACCAGGGAAAUCAUAGAAAGUUGCUACGCGGACCGAAUGGUGGAAGGCAUAGCUCUAGCUUAGCGCCUGGAACCUGGUCGGGUUCCUCUCCUCUUGAGUUGCAGUAGUUGGUCAGCUCUGUGGAAUCUCCUGCGGUUUAUGCUUAUCUGAUAGCCUCAUCUUUCCUGAUGCACAGAAGAAUGUGGUGAAGCCCCUGGGGCCCCAGAAGAAACCCCAAAGAAGGAGCCAUUGCCUGUGGCCUGCCCACGGCCCCAGCAGCCACUUGGUUGCCCUCAGCCUGUCUCUGGACACACUCCCCAUUCUCAUGAGGUGCACUCUGGUCCCCACAAAAGCCUGGGUGCCAACAGCAGAGGCUGAAAACCUCCUGUCGGGUUACUUGUGUUCUAGUAGUUGGUUUCUAGAGUUGCAAAGGACUCUUGCAGCAGAAAUUGCUGACUAUGCCUAAAAGCUCUCUUUCCCUACAAAAAUUAAAUGGGAUAUUAUCUUGGCACUUGGACAUUUGGAUAAAGACAGUGUUUCUCCACCUCCUCUGCUGUAGCUGAGUGACUGAGUGAUGUAGCCAUGUGACUAAUGAAAGAGAGGUGACAGUACUUUGCUGUGGCUUCCGGGAAUAUCCCCAAAGGCUGCCCCUCCACCUCCAUUCUCCGCCCUGCUGCUCAAACCACAGCCCAGCUGUGACAGCUGGCCCUCCAGCUCAGAGUAGGCAUCAGUCUUGAGUUGGGGGUCACGUUUGUUUGACUUCCAAGCCAGACAGAGCUGAGCUGACUCUGUGGCACGAAGCUGCCACUCCAGGUCAGUUCAUCUCCUUCUGGAUGCUGAUCUGAAGGGGAGGAAGAGACCUUUCCACCGCCUUUCACCCUGUCACUUUGUUUUAGCACAACCAACAGCCAAAUCUUAUCUUAGCUAACACGGUCCUCAGGACUCUAAGACCGAGUAGCAGGCUUCAUGACAGGCAUUGGGAGAGGAAGCAUUUGACAGGGACACGAGGAAGGCUAGGUGGGCGAGGACACUGGUGGUCACAGAGCGGUGCCUCGUCCUGCCUGGGAGCAGCACUGCAGUGCAGUGAGCACAUCAGCACACAUCUGUGCGCCUGCUGCAGCCCUGGACGCCACGGACUUUGGGAGGUGACACAGUGCACUUCUGUUCCAGUGACACAAAAUCAUCUUCCCAAAAUAAAAAACAUCAUCUUAAAAAUCUGCCGGAAAAUGUACGCGCUAUAAAAGGGCUGAAUGUGUGCAAUUCUGGGCAGGAGGCGUCACCCGCAGCCCUUUGCCUCCGGAGUCUGUAGUGUUCGUGGGCUGAGCUCAGCCCUGCCCACCGAGCUCUCAGAAGGAAGGCUCGGAGCCACAUCCUUUUUCUGACAGGAUUUGACAUUUUCAGCUGCAUCUAAAAUUACCGAGAAUUGCAUAGGAAGGAACAGAAAGUGACAUCAAGUUACAGUGAAAAGCAUUUGCAGGACUGUGCAAACCACAAAGUGCUCCUGGUCUAGCAGCUUGCCAGGAAGAAAGGAAGGGGGCAGAGGAAGACGGAGAUGAGGAGCAAGAGAUGCCCCACAGGCUCCGGGUCACAGAGCCGACCGCAGCCCACGCAAGGCAACUGCUUCAGAAAUACCACAAGCCUUAGGCAAGGAAGGUCACGCAGGGAAGCAGAAAGGCUGCCCGAAUCCAGAAUGCAAUACUUCUGUGCCCAUUCUCCGCCCCGGGCAGCCGGUACCAGGGAUCGAACUCACGUCUGCACGCUUGCAAGGCAGGCGCUUAUGCCGCUGAGCUAAGUCCCCAGCCCGAAAAUACUUGUUUUUAAAAAUAAACAUUCUGUUGCAUUUGAUGAGGGGAACCUAGAGACAGGCAUUUCAUGUUUCCCAGAACUUCUUGCAUAUUGGUGCUACGUGAGAGCGGGCCUGGUGCUAGCAUUAUCUCUGGAAACAGACGGGGACAAGUGGCCAGCGGGUGAGGCACAGGAAGAGGCCUCUCACCCCGGCUCCCCACAGUGCAGCCCCGUGUGAUGCUUUCUGCCAUUCCACCAGUCUCUGAGGUUAAAGAGCUGUGACCAAUUUAAUCCAUAUAUUUAAAAAUACAAGUGUGUCAAAUAAUUCAAGGAAAGAGGCACUAUGGCGACUACUAUUAUGUUAGAUUAUCUGGUGACGAAACACAAUGACGCUUGAAUUGUUUGGUUCUGACCUGUGUUGUUCUGUUACAAUGUCCUCUUUUAUCUCAAUGUCCCCCCCCCUUUUUUAAUUAAUCUAUUUUUUCUCAUUUUUUUAAUUAAGGGAAAACUAAAUUAAAAAUAGAGGGAUAUAUUAUAGUAACUUUUUUGUUUUCCUGUUAACCUGAUUUGAACCCCAGUAUUGCUCUCCCCAUCUUGUUCUGUCUGAUUAUUCUAUAUUCUAUUUUGUUUGAUAGUAUCAAGUUUGAGGCUAUAGGCAGCCACUUUGAAGGCAAUAAGAUAUACUAUGAUGCCCAUUAUGGUUUGACUAUUAUCCUUUUUUGAAGCCCUAUAAAGUCCUCAGUGUAGGUUUUAUUGGUUUUGUUCUGUACUGUUUUGAUCAAUUCUAUUAUACCUGAUGAUAUAGGUAACUCAAUUUAAAAAUAGCAAGAGACACAAUGGUAACCACUUUUGAUCACCUGGUAUUCUAUUUUUGCAUCAUGUACUAUGCCCACCCUUCUGUUCUGACUCUGUUUUGCUUAGUCACGUUUGGUUUUAUUCUCUUCAAAAAAAGUAAUAAGAACUGUGGGAGUAAUAAAACCCAAAAAGUAUAAUUGUUAUUGUAAAAAAGAGAGGAAAGGAAGGUGGACUAAGGGAUAUAACCGCAGGUAUGUUUGAGUGUGUAGGAUGGAAAACCAUAUUACUGAGCUUUUGUUGAUCACUGAACGGAACUGUCUCCAAUAUCACUGUAUGAAUGUCCACUUUAUAUGCUUUAAUUUUAUAAUUUGGACAACUGUUUCUAGGAAGACAAUAUGUAACCUAUUAACUGGUAAUUUCUUACUGUAUAUUUUUUUCUUGAAAUUCUGUAUUACUUGUACCCUUUUACUGCUUUGUUUUUUUAUGUCCUUUCUUUUUUCUCUUUAAAUAAAAAAAAAUUCAAGUGUC